GCCUUUAGGUUCGGAAUAACUCAGGGAAACUUGUGCUAAUACCGAAUGUGCCCUUCGGGGGAAAGAUUUAUCGCCUUUAGAGCGGCCCGCGUCUGAUUAGCUAGUUGGUGAGGUAAAGGCUCACCAAGGCGACGAUCAGUAGCUGGUCUGAGAGGAUGAUCAGCCACAUUGGGACUGAGACACGGCCCAAACUCCUACGGGAGGCAGCAGUGGGGAAUCUUGCGCAAUGGGCGAAAGCCUGACGCAGCCAUGCCGCGUGAAUGAUGAAGGUCUUAGGAUUGUAAAAUUCUUUCACCGGGGACGAUAAUGACGGUACCCGGAGAAGAAGCCCCGGCUAACUUCGUGCCAGCAGCCGCGGUAAUACGAAGGGGGCUAGCGUUGCUCGGAAUUACUGGGCGUAAAGGGAGCGUAGGCGGACAUUUAAGUCAGGGGUGAAAUCCCGGGGCUCAACCUCGGAAUUGCCUUUGAUACUGGGUGUCUUGAGUAUGAGAGAGGUGUGUGGAACUCCGAGUGUAGAGGUGAAAUUCGUAGAUAUUCGGAAGAACACCAGUGGCGAAGGCGACACACUGGCUCAUUACUGACGCUGAGGCUCGAAAGCGUGGGAGCAAACAGGAUUAGAUACCCUGGUAGUCCACGCCGUAAACGAUGAUUGCUAGUUGUCGGGAUGCAUGCAUUUCGGUGACGCAGCUAACGCAUUAAGCAAUCCGCCUGGGGAGUACGGUCGCAAGAUUAAAACUCAAAGGAAUUGACGGGGGCCCGCACAAGCGGUGGAGCAUGUGGUUUAAUUCGAAGCAACGCGC
rnacentral:rRNA from 1 species